AAGCUAGCGAGUCCCUGCAGGGAUGCCAUCAGAUCUCUGCAACAUCACAGCCUGAGAGUUCCAAGCCCUGUGUCCUCAGGUAAGGCCACGGUGGACAUCAGCGCCUAUGGAUGUAAAGUCCCAGCGGUUUGGCCAUCUCCUGGUCAGAUCUGUGGGAAGCUCUGUGGUUUAACCUCAUAACCUGGCUCACUACAAGCUCCCGCAGAGGCAAACAUUAAACAGACUAAUGGUUCCUUUCCCGGACCCCACAGAGGAUCUUCCACACCCUCUGGAAUGUGUGUACCUGGCUUUGCCGACCCUGCCCCAGACUGAACACAGCACUCCUCCUCUUUCCCAAAAAGCCCCAUGGAGACCUCUGAAGGGACGUCAUCUUCUUAAGGACCCACCAGGAGCUGUAGGGUCCA